rnacentral:rRNA from 1 species
AACGAACGCUGGCGGCAGGCCUAACACAUGCAAGUCGAGCGAGGACUUCGGUCCUAGCGGCGGACGGGUGAGUAACGCGUGGGAACGUGCCCUUUGCUUCGGAAUAGCCCUGGGAAACUGGGAGUAAUACCGGGUGAGCCCUUUGGGGGAAAGAUUUAUCGGCGAAGGAUCGGCCCGCGUUGGAUUAGGUAGUUGGUGGGGUAAUGGCCUACCAAGCCGACGAUCCAUAGCUGGUUUGAGAGGAUUAUCAGCCACACUGGGACUGAGACACGGCCCAGACUCCUACGGGAGGCAGCAGUGGGGAAUCUUAGACAAUGGGGGAAACCCUGAUCUAGCCAUGCCGCGUGAGCGAUGAAGGCCUUAGGGUUGUAAAGCUCUUUCAGCUGGGAAGAUAAUGACGGUACCAGCAGAAGAAGCCCCGGCUAACUCCGUG